CUCCUACGGGAGGCAGCAGUCGGGAAUUUUGGGCAAUGGGCGAAAGCCUGACCCAGCAACGCCGCGUGAAGGAUGAAGUAUUUCGGUAUGUAAACUUCGAAAGAAUAGGAAGAAUAAAUGACGGUACUAUUUAUAAGGUCCGGCUAACUACGUGCCAGCAGCCGCGGUAAUACGUAGGGACCAAGCGUUGUUCGGAUUUACUGGGCGUAAAGGGCGCGUAGGCGGCGUGGUAAGUCACUUGUGAAAUCUCUGAGCUUAACUCAGAACGGCCAAGUGAUACUGCUGUGCUAGAGUGCAGAAGGGGCAAUCGGAAUUCUUGGUGUAGCGGUGAAAUGCGUAGAUAUCAAGAGGAACACCUGAGGUGAAGACGGGUUGCUGGGCUGACACUGACGCUGAUGCGCGAAAGCCAGGGGAGCAAACGGGAUUAGAUACCCCGGUAGUCCUGGCCCUAAACGAUGAAUACUUGGUGUCUGGAGUCUUUAAUGCUCCGGGUGCCGUCGCUAACGUUUUAAGUAUUCCGCCUGGGGAGUACGCUCGCAAGAGUGAAACUUAAAGGAAUUGACGGAAUCACUA
rnacentral:rRNA from 1 species